rnacentral:rRNA from 1 species
CGGGGGGAGCAAGCGUUGUUCGGAUUUACUGGGCGUAAAGGGCGCGUAGGCGGCCAGCGCAGUCAGUUGUGAAAUCUCCGGGCUUAACUCGGAAAGGUCAACUGAUACUGCGCGGCUAGAGUGCAGAAGGGGCAACUGGAAUUCUCGGUGUAGCGGUGAAAUGCGUAGAUAUCGAGAGGAACACCUGCGGCGAAGGCGGGUUGCUGGGCUGACACUGACGCUGAUGCGCGAAAGCCAGGGGAGCGAACGGGAUUAGAUACCCCGGUAGUCCUGGCCUUAAACGAUGGAUGCUUGGUGUCUGGAGUUUUAUAGUCUCCGGGUGCCGUAGCUAACGCGUUAAGCAUCCCGCCUGGGGAGUACGGUCGCAAGACUG